rnacentral:rRNA from 1 species
AACCUUUACACUGUACGCAAGUGCGAUAAGGGGACUCCGAGUGUGAAGGCAUAGAGCCUUCACUUUUGUACACCGUAAGGUGGUGUACGAAUAAGGGCUGGGCAAGACCGGUGCCAGCCGCCGCGGUAAUACCGGCAGCCCGAGUGAUGGCCGAUUUUAUUGGGCCUAAAGCGUCCGUAGCUGGCCGGACAAGUCCGUUGGGAAAUCUGCUCGCUUAACGAGCAGGCGUCCAGCGGAAACUGUUCGGCUUGGGACCGGAAGACCUGAGGGGUACGUCCGGGGUAGGAGUGAAAUCCUGUAAUCCUGGACGGACCACCGGUGGCGAAAGCGCCUCAGGAGGACGGAUCCGACAGUGAGGGACGAAAGCUAGGGUCUCGAACCGGAUUAGAUACCCGGGUAGUCCUAGCCGUAAACAAUGCCUGCUAGGUGUGGCUCCCACUACGAGUGGGUGCUGUGCCGUAGGGAAGCCGCUAAGCAGGCCGCCUGGGAAGUACGUCCGCAAGGAUGAAACUUAA